rnacentral:rRNA from 1 species
UAGUGGCGGACGGGUGAGUAACGCGUGGGCAACCUGCCCUUUACUGGGGAAUAAUCAUUGGAAACGAUGACUAAUACCGCAUGUCCCCGAGAUAUGGCAUCAUAUUUCGGAAAAAGGAGUAAUCCGGUAAAGGAUGGGCCCGCGUCUGAUUAGCUUGUUGGUGGGGUAACGGCCUACCAAGGCGACGAUCAGUAGCCGACCUGAGAGGGUGAUCGGCCACAUUGGGACUGAGACACGGCCCAAACUCCUACGGGAGGCAGCAGUGGGGAAUAUUGCACAAUGGGGGAAACCCUGAUGCAGCAACGCCGCGUGAAGGAUGAAGGUUUUCGGAUCGUAAACUUCUAUCA